rnacentral:rRNA from 1 species
CCUACGGUAGGCAGCAGUGGGGAAUAUUGCACAAUGGGGGGAACCCUGAUGCAGCAACGCCGCGUGGGUGAAGAAGUACUCCGGUAUGUAAAGCCCUGUCAGCAGGGAAGAAAAUGACGGUACCUGACCAAGAAGCCCCGGCUAACUACGUGCCAGCAGCCGCGGUAAUACGUAGGGGGCAAGCGUUAUCCGGAUUUACUGGGUGUAAAGGGAGCGUAGACGGCAAGGCAAGUCUGGAGUGAAAGCCCGUGGCCCAACCACGGGACUGCUUUGGAAACUGUGUUGCUGGAGUGCAGGAGGGGUAAGCGGAAUUCCUAGUGUAGCGGUGAAAUGCGUAGAUAUUAGGAGGAACACCGGUGGCGAAGGCAGCUUACUAAACUGCCACUGACAUUGAUGCUCGAAAGUGUGGGUAUCAAACAGGAUUAGAUACCCUGGUAGUC